GAUGAACGCUGGCGGCGUGCCUAAUACAUGCAAGUCGAGCGAACAGACGAGGAGCUUGCUCCUCUGACGUUAGCGGCGGACGGGUGAGUAACACGUGGAUAACCUACCUAUAAGACUGGGAUAACUUCGGGAAACCGGAGCUAAUACCGGAUAAUAUAUUGAACCGCAUGGUUCAAUAGUGAAAGACGGUUUUGCUGUCACUUAUAGAUGGAUCCGCGCCGCAUUAGCUAGUUGGUAAGGUAACGGCUUACCAAGGCAACGAUGCGUAGCCGACCUGAGAGGGGGGCCGGCCCCGGUGGGAGAGGAAGACGGGCCAGACUCCUACGGGGGGCAGGAGUAGGAAAUUUUCCGAAAGGGGCGAAGGGCAGAGGGCGCAAGGGCGGGGGGGUGAAAAAGGUUUUGGGGUGGUAAAACUCUUUUUUUGGGGAAAGAAAAAUGGGUAAGUAACCGUCCACGUUGUCGGGAAACCGAAAAGAAGAGCCGGGGAAAAUCGGG
rnacentral:rRNA from 1 species